CUUGGUUACAAACUGGUCACCAAGGAAGGCCUAGCCCAAACUACCACACAGUUUUAUGCUCCAGAAACUACUCUGAAGAAAACAUUUAGAGACAUAUAGAGACCAGUGGAAGAGGAUAAUGACAGCACUCUAUAGAAAGAAGAUAAUGAGUCUGGACACAAAAAAAUUCCAGUACAAUUUGGACAGCAGACCCCAUCAGAAUAUGUUGAACUCUAAAAACCUGACCCAGCAAAGCAUUUCUGAACCUACUGUAUAUUAAGCAGACAAGUAAUCUGAUGUAUUCUGCUGGACCUAUUAACACUUGAACAAAAAACUUGUAAUUUUUAUUUAAAUUUUUUUUUUUAAAUAAGGUAUGCCACAUUUCUACAUUAGGCAAGAGCUGAUGCAAAGCACCUCUGCUAAGACCCUGGAGGCUAUGGAACCUGAGCCUGAAAAGGCAAGUUUAAAUGCAGACAUACCAAGAGAUAUUUUAAUUAUAUAAUAAAUGCAGAAAAUAUAAUGCUAAAUUUGGGGAUUUUUUUUCUGUUUUAUUAGAAAGAAUGAUAAUACAUUUUUUUUGAAGCUAGGAACUUUUUUUGUUCCAUACAAGCUUCCUAUGGUCAAAAUUGGCUUAUGCAAAAGAAGUUAUAAAGUUUGCAUGAAAGCCUGAACUUUUCCAGCCUUCUUAUGCUUGCUUGAGUGACAGAAUGAUAUUAUUCUGAAGGUUGCACAGUGACUCUUUGAUCUUAAAGCUUGUAAAGGCCGUCUCACAUCUGCAUGUUCUAAUAUUCCCUGAUAAUCUGACUUGAACUUCAAGGCUUAUAAGACCUUGGAUCAGUGAUUUGCAAUUCAAGUGCCUCAGAAAGAAAAAAAAAAAAGGCAGCUUAGUCUUAUUAAGUGUUGUUGUGAAGCUAUUACAGGCAAGGGGUUUUUUUUUAAGCAGCUUUGAAAGUUCUGUCCAGAAACUUUGCCCAUAUAAAUACAUACAGAAUGUCACCAAUAUCACUGUGAGCUCCCUUGGGUCUCCUUUUCCCUCUGCUAACCCUAAGAAAUCCACUCAAAAUUUUAAGUAGGAGUUAAUCACAAUAAUAAAACACUC